UAUAGGGCGUCAAAUUCGAUCCGCAAACUGGAUCCACUUUGCAUAUAGAGCUAGCCAGAUCAAAUUCAAGGCGCAAACGUAAACCGGGUAGUGGACCUUAUGUUGUUAUAGAUAACAAAAGUAACGAGGCAUCAAAUGCACGAGAACCUUCAAGCAAUGAUGAUGGAGACUCUGAAUCAGCAGAUCCAUCUGAGGAAGAUAAUCAUGAAUCCGGCAACGAGGAUGAUUCAGAGACUGCAAAAAGGUUGGAAGCGCUCAAGCAUCGCAG